rnacentral:rRNA from 1 species
GGAAUAACACGAGGAAACUUGUGCUAAUACCUGAUAAGUCUUUACGGAGAAAGCUUUAUGCACCAUUGGAUGAGCCUGCACUUGAUUAGUUAGUUGGUAGGGUAAAGGCCUACCAAGACUUUGAUCAAUAGCUGAUUUGAGAGGAUGAUCAGCCACAUUGGGACUGAGACACGGCCCAAACUCCUACGGGAGGCAGCAGUGGGGAAUCUUGCACAAUGGAGGAAACUCUGAUGCAGCGAUGCCGCGUGAGUGAAGAAGGCCCUUGGGUUGUAAAGCUCUUUCGUCGGGGAAGAAAAUGACUGUACCCGAAUAAGA